rnacentral:rRNA from 1 species
UACGAAGGGGGCUAGCGUUGUUCGGAAUUACUGGGCGUAAAGCGCGCGUAGGCGGCUUUGCAAGCCAGAGGUGAAAUGCCUGAGCUUAACUUAGGAAUUGCCUUUGGGACUGCGAGGCUUUGAGGACGAGAGAGGUGAGUGGAAUUCCCAGUGUAGAGGUGAAAUUCGUAGAUAUUGGGAAGAACACCGGUGGCGAAGGCGGCUCACUGGCUCGUUUCUGACGCUGCAGCGCGAAAGCGUGGGGAUCAAACAGG